UCUAAGCCCAUACCACCCUGAUCACGCCAGAUCCCAUCUGAUCUUUAAAGCUAGACAGGGUAGGACCUGGUUAAUACUUGGAUGGGAGACAGCCUAGUGGCAACCCUUGAGGUGUUUAAAA
rnacentral:rRNA from 1 species